GGGCAGGUAGCCGCAGUUGGUAGAGCGCCAGAUUUAUAAUCUGGUGGUCGCGUGUUCGACCCCCGCUCUAUCCA
rnacentral:tRNA from 1 species